UCUUCAUCAAAGAUGAUGGGUACAGUGCU
rnacentral:piRNA from 1 species